rnacentral:rRNA from 1 species
AGAGUUUGAUCCUGGCUCAGAUUGAACGCUGGCGGCAGGCCUAACACAUGCAAGUCGAGCGGUAGCACAGAGAGCUUGCUCUCGGGUGACGAGCGGCGGACGGGUGAGUAAUGUCUGGGAAACUGCCUGAUGGAGGGGGAUAACUACUGGAAACGGUAGCUAAUACCGCAUAAUGUCGCAAGACCAAAGUGGGGGACCUUCGGGCCUCAUGCCAUCAGAUGUGCCCAGAUGGGAUUAGCUAGUAGGUGGGGUAACGGCUCACCUAGGCGACGAUCCCUAGCUGGUCUGAGAGGAUGACCAGCCACACUGGAACUGAGACACGGUCCAGACUCCUACGGGAGGCAGCAGUGGGGAAUAUUGCACAAUGGGCGCAAGCCUGAUGCAGCCAUGCCGCGUGUGUGAAGAAGGCCUUCGGGUUGUAAAGCACUUUCAGCGGGGAGGAAGGCGUUAAGGUUAAUAACCUUGGCGAUUGACGUUACCCGCAGAAGAAGCACCGGCUAACUCCGUGCCAGCAGCCGCGGUAAUACGGAGGGUGCAAGCGUUGAUCGGAAUUACUGGGCGUAAAGCGCACGCAGGCGGUCUGUCAAGUCGGAUGUGAAAUCCCCGGGCUCAACCUGGGAACUGCAUUCGAAACUGGCAGGCUAGAGUCUUGUAGAGGGGGGUAGAAUUCCAGGUGUAGCGGUGAAAUGCGUAGAGAUCUGGAGGAAUACCGGUGGCGAAGGCGGCCCCCUGGACAAAGACUGACGCUCAGGUGCGAAAGCGUGGGGAGCAAACAGGAUUAGAUACCCUGGUAGUCCACGCCGUAAACGAUGUCGAUUUGGAGGUUGUGCCCUUGAGGCGUGGCUUCCGGAGCUAACGCGUUAAAUCGACCGCCUGGGGAGUACGGCCGCAGGGUUAAAACUCAAAUGAAUUGACGGGGGCCCGCACAAGCGGUGGAGCAUGUGGUUUAAUUCGAUGCAACGCGAAGAACCUUACCUGGUCUUGACAUCCACAGAACUUUCCAGAGAUGGAUUGGUGCCUUCGGGAACUGUGAGACAGGUGCUGCAUGGCUGUCGUCAGCUCGUGUUGUGAAAUGUUGGGUUAAGUCCCGCAACGAGCGCAACCCUUAUCCUUUGUUGCCAGCGGUUCGGCCGGGAACUCAAAGGAGACUGCCAGUGAUAAACUGGAGGAAGGUGGGGAUGACGUCAAGUCAUCAUGGCCCUUACGACCAGGGCUACACACGUGCUACAAUGGCAUAUACAAAGAGAAGCGACCUCGCGAGAGCAAGCGGACCUCAUAAAGUAUGUCGUAGUCCGGAUUGGAGUCUGCAACUCGACUCCAUGAAGUCGGAAUCGCUAGUAAUCGUAGAUCAGAAUGCUACGGUGAAUACGUUCCCGGGCCUUGUACACACCGCCCGUCACACCAUGGGAGUGGGUUGCA